AGUGAACGCUGGCGGUAGGCCUAACACAUGCAAGUCGAACGGCAGCACAGUAAGAGCUUGCUCUUACGGGUGGCGAGUGGCGGACGGGUGAGGAAUACAUCGGAAUCUACUUUUUCGUGGGGGAUAACGUAGGGAAACUUACGCUAAUACCGCAUACGACCUACGGGUGAAAGCAGGGGAUCUUCGGACCUUGCGCGAUUGAAUGAGCCGAUGUCGGGUUAGCUAGUUGGCGGGGUAAAGGCCCACCAAGGCGACGAUCCGUAGCUGGUCUGAGAGGAUGAUCAGCCACACUGGAACUGAGACACGGUCCAGACUCCUACGGGAGGCAGCAGUGGGGAAUAUUGGACAAUGGGCGCAAGCCUGAUCCAGCCAUACCGCGUGGGUGAAGAAGGCCUUCGGGUUGUAAAGCCCUUUUGUUGGGAAAGAAAAGCAGCAGGUUAAUACCCCGCUGUCCUGACGGUACCCAAAGAAUAAGCACCGGCUAACUUCGUG
rnacentral:rRNA from 1 species